rnacentral:rRNA from 1 species
GACGAACGCUGGCGGCGUGCCUAAUACAUGCAAGUUGAGCGCUGAAGGUUGGUACUUGUACCAACUGGAUGAGCAGCGAACGGGUGAGUAACGCGUGGGGAAUCUGCCUUUGAGCGGGGGACAACAUUUGGAAACGAAUGCUAAUACCGCAUAAAAACUUUAAACACAAGUUUUAAGUUUGAAAGAUGCAAUUGCAUCACUCAAAGAUGAUCCCGCGUUGUAUUAGCUAGUUGGUGAGGUAAAGGCUCACCAAGGCGAUGAUACAUAGCCGACCUGAGAGGGUGAUCGGCCAAAUUGGGAAUGAGACACGGCCCAAACUCCUACGGGAGGCAGCAGUAGGGAAUCUUCGGCAAUGGACGAAAGUCUGACCGAGCAACGCCGCGUGAGUGAAGAAGGUUUUCGGAUCGUAAAACUCUGUUGGUAGAGAAGAACGUUGGUGAGAGUGGAAAGCUCAUCAAGUGACGGUAACUACCCAGAAAGGGACGGCUAACUACGUG